rnacentral:pre_miRNA from 15 species
CCGUCGGCGCUAAUCUGCGGUACUUGGAGAUAGGUUAUCCGUGUUGCCUUCGCUUUAUUUGUGCCGAAUCAUACACGGUUCACCUAUUUUUCAGUACCACAUCCCGCCUUGGAGAGCU